GGCGGGUUGCCCGAGCGGCCAAUGGGAGCGGACUGUAAAUCCGUCGGGAAACCUUCGCAGGUUCGAAUCCUGCACCCGCCAC
rnacentral:tRNA from 2 species